AGCAAAGAGCCUGAGUCACCUACAAAUUGCAGGGCCCUAAAAAGGACACAUGCCAGAGACAACCAUCCUAGAGGACUGCACCUUUGUGAGAAGUAUCGUUAUUCUUCUUGCUUUCCACGGUUACCCCAACCAGAGCACUGUGGCCUGUGCAUACCCACAAGUAAGCACUGGGAGUACUUGAGAAACCUGGGAAGCUUCAUUAAAUUUCCAGGACACCAGGGUAAGAAUCACUGUGCCAAGCCAGUCCUUUACAGAAAGGCAAAACCAUUUUGCUUUGGAUUAUCUUGUUACCACCUCAGGGGUCCUUAGAAAUCUUCUGAGUUUUUGUUGUUCUUACUUGGUCUGUUUUUCUUGAAGGAUGAACUCACUAGGUUUGUUUUUAUGUACAAUUUUAUUCAACAAACUGAAAUUACAAUAUAGAAAACAUAUAAUUAUGGAAUCAAGCAAGCAGUAAUCAUUUUGUACAAAAUGUCAGAAAUCUACAACUAUGGCAAUUAGUGUGGCACACCUAGCUGAGAUCAAAUUUGCAUAGUAUUAAUGUCUAAGUGAUAUUCCAUGUGGCUCAACAGAAUAAAAAUUUUCUAAUCCAAGAGGACUUGCAAAUGAUAAGCACAGAAAACAAGCAGGGUCUCUUUAUUCACCUGGCAAAUUUAUAUAUCUUCCCUUCUGAAAUUGCUGGUGAAGAUUUUUCUUUAUUUGUCUAAUCAUCAAUGGACGGCUUUCAUAAUAUUUCUACCAUGAGUUCUUAAAGUACAUUCUGAUAAUUCUCAUAUACCUCAUUUUAUUCUCAUGACACCCCUUUAAGGUGAACAUGAAGCUUUUUCUGCUUUCAAAUGGCCUUGUGUUCCAGAAUCGAGUGGUUUGCCCAGAACAGUCCUAAAGUGUCAAUAUUGCUGACUGACAGGAACUCAGCUUCUUCUGACUUUGAAUUCUCUUUUCCUUAGUUUGAGGAAAAUCACAUUUUACCUGCUCAUAAAGUCCUCUAUUUUCUCUUUCUUUUUUUUUUUUGUCUUACUUCUAAAUAGCUCUAAUUAAAAAAAAAAUACUAGAUUACAUUUAGUCUCACUUUCACAAUGUGAGGGAAGCAGAUUAUAUCUAAACCCUUCUCAGCUUUGAUUUAGUUACUUUUCGGAGUCUUUGGAAAGUAAUGUCUGCACACAGUGAGAAUAUUUCAUGAAAAACAGCAAUAGCUAACACUUAAGUAGGUGCCAAACACUCUACUGCAUCAUAUGGGGAAGGUUUUAUAGAUGAAGAAACUGAAGCUUAAGGAAAUUUAAAUAAUGUACUUAGGACCACAUAGCCAGCAAAUGGAAAAGCAGGGAUUCAAACCCAAGCAGUUUGGCUCUAGUGCUCAGACACUGAAUAUUGCUUUGCUAUAGCUUGGCUAUAUCAUUUUUUUCAUAUCUGGAUGGAUAUGAAUUUCUAUUAAGCUAAAGUAGAGAUAAGCAUAGCAGAUAGGUAACAAGUGCCAAGAAAUAAAAAUGGGCAUGAUACCUUCAAAGUGCUUCUAACCCUCAUGGUCAUCCUGGAGACAUUAACAGACAUAACAAAGAGUGGCUCUGUAACUUCAGAAUGUCUUGUUUUCACUUAUCCUAAUUACAGAAUAUUGUGCUUUGGAGGGAUUGGUUUCUGAAGUUCUCCUUUUCCAUCUCCACUGAAAAGUGGCCAGUUUUUCUAAGGCUGUUUAACACCUUUGGUCAGUGCCUGAAGUCUUACUUCAGUUUUAACAAGGCUGCACAAGUGUUGGUGGAAGUUGCAUUUCUAUAUAGACUUAUAACCUACUUUCUUGGUUUUCUACUCUAUUUCUCUUCUGUACUUAUAUAUUUGGC
ensembl:lncRNA